GGAGGGAAGUUCGUGGAACGAGCGGCGGACGGGUGAGUAACACGUAGGCAACCUGCCUGUAAGACUGGGAUAACUCGCGGAAACGCGAGCUAAUACCGGAUAACACUUUCUAUCACCUGAUGGAAAGUUGAAAGGCGGCUUUUGCUGUCACUUACAGAUGGGCCUGCGGCGCAUUAGCUAGUUGGUGAGGUAACGGCUCACCAAGGCGACGAUGCGUAGCCGACCUGAGAGGGUGAUCGGCCACACUGGGACUGAGACACGGCCCAGACUCCUACGGGAGGCAGCAGUAGGGAAUCUUCCGCAAUGGACGAAAGUCUGACGGAGCAACGCCGCGUGAGUGAUGAAGGUUUUCGGAUCGUAAAACUCUGUUGUCAGGGAAGAACAAGUACGAUAGUAACUGAUCGUACCUUGACGGUACCUGACCAGAAAGCCACGGCUAACUACGUGCCAGCAGCCGCGGUAAUACGUAGGUGGCAAGCGUUGUCCGGAAUUAUUGGGCGUAAAGCGCUCGCAGGCGGUUCUUUAAGUCUGAUGUGAAAUCUUGCGGCUCAACCGCAAACGUGCAUUGGAAACUGGAGGACUUGAGUGCAGAAGAGGAGA
rnacentral:rRNA from 1 species